GCAAGUCGAGCGAGGGUCUUCGGACCCUAGCGGCGGACGGGUGAGUAACACGUAGGCAACCUGCCUCUCAAACUGGGAUAACAUAGGGAAACUUAUGCUAAUACCGGAUAGGUUUUUGGAUCGCAUGAUCCGAAAAAAAAAGAUGGCUUCGGCUAUCACUGGGAGAUGGGCCUGCGGCGCAUUAGCUAGUUGGGGGGGUAACGGCCUACCAAGGCGACGAUGCGUAGCCGACCUGAGAGGGUGACCGGCCACACUGGGACUGAAACACGGCCCAAACUCCUACGGGAGGCAGCAGUAGGGAAUUUUCCACAAUGGACAAAAGUCUGAUGGAGCAACGCCGCGUGAACGAUGAAGGUCUUCGGAUUGUAAAGUUCUGUUGUUAGGGACAAAUAAUUACCGUUCGAAUAGGGCGGUACCUUGACGGUACCUGACAAGAAAGCCACGGCUAACUACGUGCCAGCAGCCGCGGUAAUACGUAGGUGGCAAGCGUUGUCCGGAUUUAUUGGGCGUAAAGCGCGCGCAGGCGGCUAUGUAAUUCUGGUGUUAAAGCCCGGAGCUCAACUCCGGUUCGCAUCGGAAACUGUGUAGCUUGAGUGCAAAAAAGGAAAGCGGUAUUCCACGUGUAGCGGUGAAAUGCGUAAAGAUGUGGAGGAACACCAGUGGCGAAGGCGGCUUUCUGGUCUGUAACUGACGCUGAGGCGCGAAAGCGUGGGGAGCAAACAGGAUUAGA
rnacentral:rRNA from 1 species